GACGAACGCUGGCGGCGUGCUUAACACAUGCAAGUCGAACGGUGAAGCUCCAGCUUGCUGGAGUGGAUCAGUGGCGAACGGGUGAGUAACACGUGAGCAACCUGCCCCAGACUCUGGAAUAAGCGCUGGAAACGGCGUCUAAUACUGGAUACGAGAUCAAGCCGCAUGGUUAUGGUCUGGAAAGUUUUUCGGUUUGGGAUGGGCUCGCGGCCUAUCAGCUUGUUGGUGAGGUAAUGGCUCACCAAGGCGACGACGGGUAGCCGGCCUGAGAGGGCGACCGGCCACACUGGGACUGAGACACGGCCCAGACUCCUACGGGAGGCAGCAGUGGGGAAUAUUGCACAAUGGGCGAAAGCCUGAUGCAGCGACGCCGCGUGAGGGAUGACGGCCUUCGGGUCGUAAACCUCUUUCAGCAGGGAAGAAGCGAAAGUGACGGUACCUGCAGAAGAAGCACCGGCUAACUACGUG
rnacentral:rRNA from 1 species